GGAGAGGCAGGUUUUUAUAUAGCGGCGAGUGGUUACCCUUGACUGCUGGCAGGAGCUAAUGAGUAACAUAAAGCUGUGAAUAUGAAUAUUUUUAUGGGGAGCUUCACUGCGGACUGCCAACCCUGAUUAUGACCUCUGUGUUACUUCAACCUCUUAGGAACAAAAGUGACGUGAUCCUUUUAUUAAACAAAGGAGCAAUGGAAAUCAAGCAACCAAUCAAUGUCUUUAAACUCUCCCGUGACUGAGCUGAAGACAACAGCCUGUGCAACGAGUAUCUUUGCGAAGUUUUUUUGUAAGAAGAAAAUCAAACAUUUCUGGAACAACUCAAGUUUGCAGGUUGUCAUUAAUACAUCAGACAGCAUGAAUAAACCAGCAAACCCAGCAGUGGCUGGCCUGUGCUGCUCCUGGAACAGCUGGGACUAGAGCCAUGAAUCAUGUCAUCUGGUCGGGCUUAUGAAAAGAGCUCUGCGUCUGUGUGCGCUGCUCAGACAGACAGAGAGCAGAGCGGGCGGUACUAAAUCAUACAGCUCAUCACUCCCAAUACAUUUGCCCAGCAAGACACGUUCUGGAUUUAUGGGGUACCAAUGCUACUGGUCACUGAUCUGAAUACACUGUUUAUCUAUUUUCACACUGACCGGGGCUGCCUUGUGCUAACCCAUUUCAUGAUGUUUAACCUCAAUUGCAGGCUUUUGAGAAUGAGGAGCUUUGGGAGAGAGGCUAUGGGCAAAGGUCAGUGGAAGAGGAUUUUUCUUCUUUUUUUUUGUCAUUGUCCACACAAAAAAAAAAAAAAAGAAAAAAAAAAAGGGAAGCAUUAACUGAACGUGAAUUGGCUUUCACAUUUACUUUUACUCCCAUAAUCUGAUGUACUUCCAAAAAAUAUUUUUUUUAAUCGGUAUUUUUUCCACAAUAUUUAUGUGGAAAGCUAAA